AGCGAACGCUGGCGGCAGGCUUAACACAUGCAAGUCGAACGGUCCUUCGGGAUAGUGGCGGACGGGUGAGUAACACGUGGGAACGUACCCUUAGGUUCGGAACAACACAGGGAAACUUGUGCUAAUACCGGAUAAGCCCUUCGGGGGAAAGAUUUAUCGCCUUUGGAGCGGCCCGCGUCUGAUUAGCUUGUUGGUGAGGCAAUGGCUCACCAAGGCUACGAUCAGUAGCUGGUCUGAGAGGAUGGCCAGCCACACUGGGACUGAGACACGGCCCAGACUCCUACGGGAGGCAGCAGUGGGGAAUCUUGCGCAAUGGGCGAAAGCCUGACGCAGCCAUGCCGCGUGGAUGAUGAAGGUCUUAGGAUUGUAAAAUCCUGUCACCGGGGACGAUAAUGACGGUACCCGGAGAAGAAGCCCCGGCUAACUUCGUGCCAGCCGCCGCGGUAA
rnacentral:rRNA from 1 species